UACGGAGGGGACUAGCGUUGUUCGGAAUUACUGGGCGUAAAGCGCACGUAGGCGGAUUGUUAAGUCAGGGGUGAAAUCCCGAGGCUCAACCUCGGAACUGCCUUUGAUACUGGCAAUCUCGAGUCCGGAAGAGGUGAGUGGAAUUCCUAGUGUAGAGGUGAAAUUCGUAGAUAUUAGGAAGAACACCAGUGGCGAAGGCGGCCAACUGGCCCGAUACUGACGCUCAUGUGCGAAAGCGUGGGGAGCAAACAGG
rnacentral:rRNA from 1 species